rnacentral:misc_RNA from 1 species
GAAAUGCGAUAAGUAGUGUGAAUUGCAGAAUUCAGUGAAUCAUCGAAUCUUUGAACGCACAUUGCGCCCCUUGGUAUUCCAUGGGGCAUGCCUGUUCGAGCGUCAUCUACACCCUCAAGCUCUGCUUGGUGUUGGGUGUUUGUCCCGUCUCCGCGCGUGGACUCGCCCCAAAGUGAUUGGCAGCCGGCGUACUGGUCCCGGAGCGCAGCACAUGUCGCGCAAACGAGUGCCUUGGUACGGCGGCGUCCAUAAGCCCCUCUCUCACGCUCUUGACCUCGGAUCAGGUAGGGAUACCCGCUGAACUUAAGC